rnacentral:rRNA from 1 species
CAAUAUGCCUGCCGGCGACCGGCGCACGGGUGAGUAACACGUAUGGAACCUGCCCGCCACAGGGGGAGUAACCCGGGGAAACCCGGCCUAAUACCCCAUGCCGCCCGGACCGGGCAUCCGGUCCGGGCGAAAGGAGGAAUCCGGUGGCGGCUGGGCAUGCGGCGCAUUAGCUUGACGGCGGGGUAACGGCCCACCGUGGCGACGAUGCGUAGGGGUUCUGAGAGGAAGGCCCCCCACCACUGGAACUGAGACACGGUCCAGACUCCUACGGAAGGCAGCAG